UUGAGCCUCGGAGUCCUUCUCCACCCACGUAACAAUUUUAAAAAAUGCAACAUUAGUAGGCGUUGCCUGGAGGACCGAGAGGGCGGAGCCGCGGCAGUGACGAAGACGAUGGCUAACUAGACGAAGCUAGCUCCCUUCACUCUUGAGCAGUUAUUAGAAGUGGAGGACGUUUCUCCCCCCUCCUUACACAGACACUCGAGAAGAAAGGGACCAAGUCUAUUUGGAGGAGACAAGCGGACCUGAGUCUUAUUGUUUUGAGCUUGUGAGUUGCCUGAAACUCCCAGAACCGACCCAACAGAAUCACCUCUGAAAGGUCCUCUGGUGUCUGCAGGUGGUCUCUGGUGUCUGCAGCUGGUCUCUGCUGGUGUCUUCAGGAUCAGGAGCUUCCAGAAGAAUGUGCCUUUCAAUGACUCUUUCCCCCUUAUUUGUUAUAUUAAUUAAAUAAAUCUCAAUUUAUAUAUUUCCUGUUUUUGUUCAUGUCCAUAAAUACUUAAACAUGCUUGAAAUUAAAACGAGCUUUUAACAGUGAGGUGCUAGUUUAAUUAAUCACAAUAGCUAGUUAAACAUGCAACAAAAAUGUGAUAAUCAAUGUAAUUUAUAAAUAUCCAUUAAAAUAUCAAAACUGGAAUCUAAAUGAGAUAUUUGGCAGCACAAAAAACUUGUCAAACACAAUAUUUAUUAUAAUAAUUGUAGGCAGACAGGAGACAGAGCUGAUGGAGGUUCUCAGUCAUCGAAGGAUGGCUGAAGGCUUUCCAGGAACAGGAGAUGUGGUGUUGUCUCUUCUCUCUCUAUUCAGCAGGAUGAGCUGAUAGGUUACAGGUGUGUGAGGACAUCCUCAUGCUGUCAUAACCAGAUGACAGGAGUUAUCAGGUGAUCAGCCAGGCUAAUGAGAUGCAGAAAGAAAACAAAUUCAGGACAGUGUACAAUAUGUGGUGUUGCUCACCUUAUGUGCUCUUAUAGAGUAUUAAUGUGUGCAUGCCUCAUGGUGUAGAGUCCAUAUUUUGCUGAGUGUCCUGCAAUAAUGCAGGUUAUUAGUUAAUUUACUUUUGAUAACAAAAACAAAAUAUUUAAUGUAAAAGUUAUUUUCCAGGUGAAUCAGCUCACACGUCACCACCAAGUAUCACAGGGCCAGAAUCAGUAGCCUCCGUCAUGAUGUAAUCACAUACUUAUUUAAUUGUUAAUAUCUUAAAAAUUCUGAAAUGUUUUAAUUUUUUUUUUACCUUGAACAGUUCACUGAGCUUGCACUGUCACUGAGGUGGAAGCUGGAAUCAACAGCAGACACCUUACAUCUUGGUCUUUUCAGGAGGUCUGGACGCUCUGGGACUUUCUGGAAGAUGAAUUUUCAUCAUGGUCCCCGUGGGUCACCAGACACACUGAGGCUGGGAGCUCUAAACUGGCUGGCUAUGUAAAAACAAAGAAGCAGCACAUUUAUAAAUGUUUAAAAGAGCAUAAAAUCACGUGUAACAAUAAUCUGUAAAACAAAUUAAAACUAGAAGGUGAUAAUAAAAUGUUUACAUAGAAGAUUAUUAAAAAUAAUUCACCUUUGCUACAGGGAAGGCUUCACAUCAGCCUGGACAAGUGCAUUCUUGCAGCUAAAUCAGUCUGACAGCCAGUGUCUUGGGUAGAUUUAGCCUGAAAAAAAAAAUAGAAGCACAUUGUUGUUGGGAGUUUAUAAAGUCAGAUAAUAUACAAAAGAAUCUCCUAUAUAGGCGCUUUAUAACAUUCCUAGUGUGUGAUCGUUGUUAUAACGUAAAAGUCAGUCACACAUGAUGUGGAGAGCCUGAAAUGCGACCUCCUGAACAGAAUUCCUCACAGAACCUGUUCACAAGCUGGAUUUCACGCUGUAAUGCUGUCUGUCAACUAGUGCUGCGUCAGUUAGAGCCACUGUUGCAGAAUUGCCGACUGACUAGCUAAAGGAAGUGAACCACGUCUCUCAGACUUUGCAUUUAGGUAGGGAAUUGUCUUUAGAAGAUGUUAAAACGUUUAUUUAGCUGACUCACCUCAGACUGGAGCCCGCCGUGGUGGGGGAGCAGAGUCGGUGGGCUGCAUCUAAAUCGCGGAAGAGCCACGGUGGGCAGCCUCCCUCUUCAAACGGAGACGUGCAGAAUCGCGGGUAAAAUGCCCACAGAGUCACCGCAAGCAUACUACACUACACCUACUCACCAAUACUAACACGAUAUGGAGCACUAAACCCGAAAUACUUUCCCAAUUACACUAACAGCCAAACACUAACUAAACUACAAUAUCCAACAGCCAAGCUAACACUAAAUAAGUAUUUAUAACACUAAAAGAUAUGCUAAGACUAGGAUAUGCUAAUGCUAUAUGCUAAUGCUGAACUACCGCUGACCUCCUACGCUCGCUUGCAAAUCCAACUCCCACGCGCCACAGGGCGUGGCCGAGACUCUCGUUGCUUUUAUAACUUUGGCACGGAGCUGCUACGUAGUACUCUACUGGUUUACGUAGUACUUUACUCUUUAGCCAUUGGCUAAAAUUUAUUCAAAAUGACUCAAAUUCUAUGUUUUCAGCUGAAGGUGGCGCAUUACUGUGGUUUUUAGACAGAAUUUUUAAUUUUUAAAGAAAAUGCACCAAAAUGCUAAAAUAAAGAAUGCACACAUUUAAAACACUAUUAGACACUCAUUUAUACAGUUCAUCAGCAAAAAAAAGUUAAUUUAGACGUUACUUGCUCUUUAAUGACUUAUGUCUAAAUGUAUAAACUCAAUGCUUUUAAUGCAUUUUUAAGAACAUGCAGGAGUCAUGAAAAGUGCGUUGUUAUUACUAAUCCAUGCUAAAAGGCACCCACAGCGCGAAAGAUUAACAUGGCAGAAGCAAAAAUGGUUGCUGUGGUUCUGUUUGCUGUUAAACGGCUUCACUAGCAAUUCUUAUUUUGCGACGACUUCACAGCCGUUUCAGUGUAUCAGAAGCAGAACUCUUAUAUGAUAUUUAAUGGAAGUCAGCUACUUUAACCCCUGAAUUAAAACCAACUGGUAUGAGCAAAUCUCCCUACCUGCGUCUUUACUAGGCCAUUUUUAAGAGCUGCUGAGUUCAUAUCUGCAUUCACGGACUCGGAUGGCUCCUGACAUGGCCCCGAAAACACCCUGCUCGGCUCGUCAGACGCUAUGGAAACACGCGACUGUGGAGGAGACGUUCCCCGGUCAACUUACCCUGAAUUGCUGAUGUGGAACCCCGCCUCUGAUGGAGCGCUUGAGUGGUGUGCAGCUCGCUGCGUCGAUGACACAAACACCUCCACAGCGGAGGCGCCAGGCUGCUAAACUCUUCUCCCCCCGACAGCAGUUGAACUUAAACCUGCUACACACGAAGAGCAGUCUGUUAGCUAGCCGCAAUGCAGGCCUUUGUUUAGCAGAAAGCCAAAUGUUCUGAGUUUUCCGCUUCACGAGGUGAAGUGAAUUUCAAACCGGUUUGACAUUUUUCGACUCACGAGGAAGAAAAUUUACAGAAUAACCCGAUUUUCCUCUGACUAAAUCUAACUAUUAUUCUGCUGACAAUAAUAGAUGGACUCUAGCUGGCAACAAGUAGCCUACAGACAUACAUAAAGUUUAAACCGUACAGUAACAUGACAGCACAAAAAAAAAACACCUCCAAGCUUUUUAGUGCUGCAUGUUCCCACAAAGAUAUUUAUACUACUUAUUUUUCAUACUAACCGUUCAAGGAGUUUGAUGCUGCUGAGAAAAUGUCGACAACAGUCUGCUUUCUUCCCUCCCGCCGAGUUUGCGUUGGAUCCGUUGCAGAGGCCUUGUGGGGCGCCCAGUGAAGUUUUGAAUUAGGCCCCUCCCCUUUGUUAUAAAACUAAACGCACCAAGUUAUCUCUACUAAACCGUAUCAGUGGCCCUUAUUAUUUCAGCUAAAAAGCACAAUCAACUAAAAUUGUUUAGUAAUCAUAGCAGGUUUUUAAAAAACAUAACUGUAUAAGUAAUGAUCACUCAGAAGUUUAACUAGAAACAAAAUCUGGGUUAACAGUGCACUGACUCGGUUUGCUCUGCGACGUUUAAUGUUUUACCUCCACAAAUAACACCAGCCUGUAAGACUUUCUGCUAUGUGGUGGUGUUGCUAAUGCUAACGGUUAGCUUCUAGUAGUUGAGAUGUUCUCUGCUGUUUUCUGCGUGCUAAACCAACAACAGCCUUCCCCAUUGCAAGUCAAGGUGGGUGAGUCUAUGGACGUUAAAGGAGACAUAACAUGAAAAACCCACUUUUUUAUCCAUUAACACGGUGUGUUUCACAUUUUAAGUGUCUAAGUGAGCAAAAAGGCUUAUAUUAUUCACUGGAGUUGCUAUUUAGAUAUUUAAUAAUUACGUUUUGGGCAUAUUUGUCCACCCGUUCAGUUUUUACAUUAUCUAUUACAUCAGUAAUUAAUUUAGUGAGGAUAACUACCAAAUAUGGUAAUGGCCCUCGGCUAAACACAGAGCCAAUCCGCCAUUUUUUCUUCUCGCUAAGAUUUUUUGUAGUCCUAUUGGAAAAAUGCAGAAUGUCUGGUUAUUUUAGCCACACACAGCUCAAAACUGUUCCUCGUUUUAAGGAAGGUUGGUGUGGCAGUAUUUAAACCCAGGAGCUGAUGACACUACUGCUAAAAAAACACAGAAGAAAAAGUAGUGUGUUUGUGUUUGUGUGUGUGUGUGCGCGCGCGUGCGCGUGGUUCGUUCGUUCGUGUCUCCAGGCUAGUAAGUACUGAGGGCUUCAUCUAUCUAAAAGGAGUCAUUUUUAUCUGAAUGUGGCAGCACCGGGACACAGCAGCAGAGCGGUAAGCUUCAUAUCACUCUAAAAUGUCGACAAACUUUACUUUAGAUUUACGGGCAUUAGCAGCACUAAAGCGUUAGCAUCCGGCUUGCUAUCGCUAGCACAGUAUGCUAGUAAAGUUAGCACCCAGAUUAAUGUGGAUUUGGCUGAUUUUCGUGGAAUAAAACGUGAUUUCUGAUCAACGCCUUCUUUUACACCAGAUGAUAACCUCCCACUGAUUGUAACAGCAGAGAGCCUGUGUGUUAUUCUACAUGAGUGUGAUGUAAUCUUAGCAUCCAGUAAAUAAUGUCCCAUAUCAGCUAAAAUGCAGCGUGACAAAGUCAUUAAAGUGCGUCAACACAGUGGAUUUAAUAGAGUAGUAAGUCUGUCUGCACUGCUCUCUAAUGAGCUUCCUUUCAUAAGGAAUCAUUUGUAUAAUUUUAGUGUCACUAUUUUAUUACAUUUGUAAGAAUAUGAAGUCACUGCAGCAACACAAACGUGACUAUAAACAUGAAAGCUAAAGAAACAACUUUCCUAAAGCUGCUUGUAAACAAAAUAUGUCAUUAAAGUUAUUGUCUAUCAUUGCAGAAUAUGACGAUGACAUCAUGGAACUGGUCUUUGGAAAAGUUUUCCCUGAACCAACUCCGUUUCUAGAUGAGGUAGAGAAGAUCUGCAUCUCACCAACUCUCUGGUCUCAGUAUUCAGACAACGGAGGUCUCCCACUGUUGUCCAGGACCAGUUUGAAGCCCACAUACUGCCCCUCCCUCAUCAUCAGGAAACAUCAAUCCGUAUCCUGAGGACAACAGAAGACGGCAGGAGGACAGGAACUCUGAGACCUAGACACCACCAGCACCGAGACACAAAGCACCUGUGUGCACAACGCCUGUUUAACUACUAAAGCCUGUUUAUUAUAUUGUUCUACUUAUUUGCUGUGAGGUUAAUACUUAGAAAAUUUGUAUUUUAAUGUAAACAAUAAAAAAAUCACUGAUUGUAUGUUUUCUUUUAGAUGUAAUGGUCCAAACUCAGCCUUGUAGACAUUUAUUGCAUCCUGUAGGUAAAUACACAGAACAGGCUCAGGUCCAGGAUGACCCAGCAUGCUCUUCUUCCAUUCUGGCUGUUAGGGAUUGUAUCAAUAACUCAAUGCCUACUGAUGUUUCCACCUAACGGUAUUUAUUUAGAAUGCAGGUAAGAUUUAACUAUAUUUGUUAGCAAAGCAGACUGAUCUUGGGAAUUUCACUGCAGCAUUGAUGUCCACCUCUCUGUACACAUUAGAGAGAAUUACCACUUUACAGCUAAACACAUUUAAUAAAGAUAUAGGCUACGCAUUGCAGACAAUAAAAACAAAGUUGUAAGCAUUAGAAUUAUAAUGAUCACAUUAAAGAACAUUUGGAGGAAUGUUCUUUAUUUUUGACUCGAAUCUCAAAUCUUUAAAUUAAAAUGUAACUGCUUUUUAUCCAUUUUCAGCCAUUAAGACACCCAAUAUAAAAUAAGACUACUUAUAAAAUUAUUUAUAAUUAUAUGUAUGUAUAUAUAGAUAGAGAUCUUAAUAAAAUGUAUUCUUUUAAUGGUGUUUUAAUGAGCUGUAUCAUUUUUUAAAACAUUUUUUAUAGAAAUAAAUAAGCAAGCAGCA